rnacentral:piRNA from 3 species
UAACAAGAUGCGUAACGGCCAUACAU